UUACGGCUACACCACGUUGAAAUACCGGUUACCGUUUGAUCACCGAAGUUAAGCAACGCCGAGCUUGGUCAGUACUUGGAUGGGUGACCGCUUGGAGAUGCCAGGUGCU